rnacentral:misc_RNA from 1 species
UUGAAAUUAUAGGUGACGGUUGUAGCUGGCCUUUCGGGGCAUGUGCACACCCGAGCCCUUAAUCCACACACACCUGUGAACCCAAUGUAAGGGCCCGUAAAAAGGCCUUUAUGUCUUAUCACCAACCUUUAUGUCUCAUAGAAUGUCAUUCAAUAUCUUCGCCUUAAAAAAGCGUCGGUAAAAUUAUA